UACGAAGGGGGGCUAGCGUUGCUCGGAAUCACUGGGCGUAAAGCGCACGUAGGCGGACUCUUAAGUCAGGGGUGAAAUCCUGGAGCUCAACUCCAGAACUGCCUUUGAUACUGGGAGCCUUGAGUUCGGGAGAGGUGAGUGGAACUGCGAGUGUAGAGGUGAAAUUCGUAGAUAUUCGCAAGAACACCAGUGGCGAAGGCGGCUCACUGGGACGGUACUGACGCUGAGGCGCGAAAGCGUGGGGAGCAAACGGG
rnacentral:rRNA from 1 species